GGAAAUCAAAAUAAGUACAACGCUUAAUGGUAAACCAAAGACCACAACAGGGCACUGAGGCAAGGGAGGGUGUGUCUGAUUGGCUAACCUCCAAUUAGUGUUAACCACAACACGUGGGAGGAGUUUCUUCCUUCCCUUGUGGUCUCUUAGGUCAUCACUCUGUGCCGGGUCAUAUGACCGGGUGCAGCACACAUAUAAGGAAGCUGCUCUGGAGCGUACAGCGUCAGACACACUGCCAAUCUGGAGACAGGGACCAGAUGACGCCGUGAUGAGGUAAGCAAGGUCGACGUGAGCGGUGCAGGGACAGGAGAUCUGACACUGCAUUUCACCACAUGAAACCGCUGACAUGGAUGGACUCCCUCU